UCCUGCCAUGGCAUUCCGGAG
rnacentral:miRNA from 1 species